GAGCACGGUAAGGAUUGACGGACUGAAGGCUCUUUCUCGAUUCCGUGGAAAGUGGUGCAUGGCCGUUUUGGUUGGUGGAUCGAUCCGUCUGGUUAAUUCCGUUUAACGAACGAGACCUCGGCACUCCGAAUAGCGCGGCGGACGUCGCGGCCUCCGGGCCGUCUUCCGCACGAGCUUCUUAGAGGGGACCGUCCCCCGCCGGGGAAGGAGGUGCGAGGCAACGACAGGUCUGUGAUGCCCCUUAGAUGUUCUGGGCCGCACGCGCAUUUACACUGACGCGUCCAACGGGUGACUCCCGACCCCGAAGGGGCCGGGGAAGUCCGCAAGGCGCGUCGUGAUGGGGAGUUGAACGUUUGCAAUUGUUGUUCACGAACGAGGAAUUCCUAGUAGGCGCGGGUCAUCAACCCGCGCCGAUUACGUCCCUGCCCUUUGUACACACCG
rnacentral:rRNA from 1 species